AAAUGUAAUUUUAAUAUUUUCAUAUUAAGAUUUUAGUUGCGAGGAAAAUGCAUACAGAAAAUGAGAUAAAAAUACAAAUGUAGUAUUCAGUGACAUGAGAAAGCAGAUGUAGGUAUCACUACCAUUUUAAAACCUGUUUUUUUAAAAAAAUGGACAGAAUUUUUUUUCUUUCAUUAAAAGAUGAGAGAUGAGAAUUUAAGAUCUGAGAAAAGUAAAGGAAUGUUGCCACUUGUCUUUGAGGUACCUUCUACUGAACUUCACAGUAAAUUUCCUUUACUGAUGUCUCCAGCUGCACAUGGGGACUAGGGAACUGGGCCAGGAAAGUCAUGGGAGAGUCUAAAUAUGAGCUUUUUCUUUCUCUCUUCAAUCACAGUGCUACAUUUCGAUGUGGAGGUCUCACUGGUCACUUUCAGUUUCUUAAUGAAAAAAUUUAAAUGUUCAAACCUGCAGUGAGUGAUGUUAUAGACACAUCUGUAGUUUUCAUUUAAUUUUACUCAGUAUUUUGCUGGAUUAUCUCCUGACCUCUUUAUUUAAGAAAUAAAAUGGUACAGCUACAGAUGACUUUUCUUUACCUCCAUCCUGGGGGAUGACUCUCCUAAAAGUUUUCUAUUAGCAAAGUGGUUUUACUGGAAGCAACCUGUAGUUGGGUUUUUCAUGUUUUUAAUGUUUAUAAGUGACAGCACUCUGGUUUGGGGAUGCAUUACACCUCCUUCAAAUUCAUACAGCAAAGCCCUAACCCCCAGUCCCUUAGAAUGUAUUUGGAGAGAGGAAUUUAAGGAGGUAAUGAAGAUGAUUAGGAGGCUGUUACGGUGUGCCCUAACCAACCUGACUGGGGGCUUUACAAGAAGAGGAGGAGAUACCAGACGAGAGCACAGAGAAAAGGCUAUGAGAGGACACAGCAAAGAGGGUGGCCAUCUAUCAGCCAAGGAGAGAGGCCUUGGAGAAACCAAACCUACCAAGACAUCUUGAUCUUAGACUUUUGGUCUCCACAACUGUCAGAAAACAAAGAACUGUUGUUUAAGUCACCUGGUCUGUGGCACUUUGUUAUGGCAACUUCCUAGCAGACCGAUAUAACCCCCUUCAACUUUUUUUCAGUUUUCCAUUUUUUUCCUGCAUUAAUUCAUGUUCUAGUUCACUCAUUGAACAGUCGCACAGGAUUCACUGCCUGCAUGAGCCACAGCUGAUUCAUCCCCACUCCCUCACUGAAAGACAUUUAGGUCCAUCACAAUGUCCUGCUGAAAUAAGCACUGUUCAGUUGAACCUGAUCUACAUGUUCCCUUGGGCACACUUGAGAAUGGUUCUCUCCCUGUAUCAAAAGCAAAUUUUUCUGUUUUAUGAGUUGCAGGAUAUAUGCAACUUCACUAACUUAAGAUCUUGUCAAAUCACUAUCAAAUGUGAUUGUAACCAAAACUGCCUCUCUGUGCAGUACAAGCAAUAUAUUGCUUCUUUACAUUCUCUUCAAGACUUGGUAUUGUUGGACUUUUAAGUGAUUUUCCUAAUCUGAUGGGUGUAAAGUGUAGAUACCUCAAUAUUUUACCUUGCAUUUCUCUGAUUAUGAUGAAGUUUGAGUAUCUUUUCAUGUUUAUUAAACAUUCCAGUUUUCUCUUCCUAAAACUGUCUUAUUAUACAAUUUGUUUAUUUUGUUGUUGGAUUUAUUUACCUCUUUUUUACUGAUUUGUAUGAUGAGUUUAUAUACUCCAGCAUUUGAUUUUUGUACAUUAUAUGUACAAUUGCAAAAUAUUCUCAAAGGUUGUGUCUUGUAUUUUAUCUUUGUGAACAUUCUUUCUAAUUCAAUGGUAAUAAAAUGUAAUGAAAGUCAUCUUUAUGGCUUAGUAUUUUUGCGUCAGUUCAGAAAUCAUCUCCUAUAUCAGAAUAAAAAUACAUAUUUUUCUAAAAGCUUUAAAACACUGCCUUUUAGAUUUUAUCCUUUAGUCAUGUGAAAUUCAUUUUAUUAUGCAGUACGAAAGAUCUAAUCUUACCAUUUUCCAUGCAGCCAAUGGUUUCCACACCAUUUAUUGAAAUCCAUCAUUACUUCUCUAAUUAUUCCUUCACCUACUAAAAACUACCUCAUUUCUAUAUAUCCUAAAUUUCUACAUACAGUAAAGUCUGCCUUAAAAGUGAUAACCCAAUCACUUAUGCUGCACCAAUGCCACUCAAAUUCCUUAGCUUUAUAGUAAGUCUUGACAUUUGGAAAAGUAAGUUCCCUCCCCACAAAUAUCAUCUUACUCUUUUUUCAAAAUUGUAUCAGCCAUCAUUAGAUCUUUUCAUUUUUAAAUUUCUUUUAGAAAUUGUUUGUUACAUUUUGUAUAAAACCUUUCUGGCAUUUGAUAGGAAUUGUGUUGAAUUUAGUUUACUAUAUUCAGAUUACUCAAUCUUUCUAUUAAUGAAGAUCCAUACACCUCCAUUGGUUUAUGCUUUCUUCAUGUCUUUUAACAAAUAGUUUUCAUUUUUUCCAUCCAGGUUUUACACAUACUUUGUCUCCCCCCCUGCCCCAGGUAAUUUAUAUCCUCUACUAUUAUUAUAAAUAUUAUCUUAAAAAUAAUUGCAUUUUCUGUUUGCAUUUGUAUAGGAAAGUUGUUGGGCUUUGUAUAUUGAUUUUUUUUCUACCUAGUAAACUGACUGAACUCUCAUAUUGUGUGCUGGCUAAAACCUCUAAAAUCAUGCUGGAUAGAAUGGCAAUAGUGUCUACCUUUAUUCUCUUCUUAGUUUUAAAGAAAAAAGUUUCUAAAGUUUCAGUAUGAUUUAAGAAAUUUCUGAUAAAGACUCUCCAUUAGGUAUUGAGAUUUUGUGUGUGUCCUCCUGUCCCCCCCGGGGCCAGCAGCUUUAAAUGAACCAUAGCUUCAAGCAACAGGCAGUUCCUGUUUUAUGUGGGCCUCCAUUGGCAAGCCCAGGAGCCCUAUCCUGCGUCAAGGUGAGGUUUCAAAUCUGGUCCCUUACCCCAGGUGAGUCUCUCCUAGAAUGUUUUACACCAGAAGUGGAACCAAGCACUAUUUUGUUUUCUAGUGUUUCCCUUCCAGAAAUAUUUAUCUAAUUUUCAGGUGAAGCUAUGUUACUUAAUUGUCUCAUAUUUUAUCUGUCUAACAUUGCUGUGAUUGUGGACUAGAAGGGUACAUAAAAUCAAGCACUUACUACAAUAUCUAACUUGGGAGUCCUUCCCGUCCUUCCCACCCCAUCCCCACCACCCUCUUCACUCCUGCCCUGCUGGGAGCAGGGCAAUGGUCAUCUCUCAGGUGCUUAUUCACAGCUGCUGAAUUGGAAGAUUGGAUUAACUCAAGCCUCCAGCAUCCAGGAUACCUGAUGUAGAGGACAGGACAAGGUGUCCUGUUCAAGGACUUUGGUCACAGAUAUGUCAGUGUGGCUGAGGGAACAGAAGGGAGAUAAGAGAUGAAAAAACAGGAUGUGAAUGCCCUUUAAGGAGGACAGUGGACGUCAGCCAAGCAGCAUAGUGUGGAGAGAGGAGAGCAAGGGCUGCAAACUCUGAAUGUUUAGAAUAUCAUUCAGUUCUUUGGUCAUUUCAUGUUUUGUUUUUUCUUUGUUUUUUCUUUUUU
rnacentral:lncRNA from 1 species